UUUUUAAACUAUAAUUUAUUAUUGUUUUGAACUGUGAAAAUAAAAAUUAUAUUGAUUGAAUUUCAAGUGUUGAUAUAAAGUUAUUGAAAAAAGCACCAUGUUGAUAUUUCCUUGCUAGUGUUUGCUGGUUUUCCGUUUCUUUGAUUUUUCGUUAUUUCGCUCGUUAUGAGAAUAUUGACUGUCAACAACAAUUUAUCAAAAGUAUUUUAAUUCAUAAUAUCAAAAUCAGCUAUUUUUCAAACAUUCCUGAAUACUAAAUACGAAUAGAUUGUAAAUACCACAAAAUCAGCAUAAUGUAAAUAAGAAAUUCAUGAGAGAAACAAAAGAAAGUUUUUUUGUGAUUAUGAAAUAAACAUUUUUUGGAAGAGGAAGCAUGCUCCAAAGUAUAAUUGGUUUGUCAUGAUAGAAAUGUAAAGAAAAUUUUGUUUUGCUGCUUCGCACACUCAAUAACUCUUUUAGUGGAAUGAAAAACAAUCGGGAUGUUAGUUGGUUGUCGAUUGUUUAUAUUCAACCAUCUGUCGAACAUCACACGAAAACUUAAAGAGUUAACUUUUAUUCUGUAACCAUUAUAACGUUGUUAGACAACAGAGAAGAGUUGAUGGACAUCUGCGUGAGGAGUGUCAACUACUAGAGUUGCUCGAGAACGAUUCGCAUUGAGAUAUUACACCCAAGAGUUCCAUUCUAUCUUUAUCGCCUCAUAAAAUUCAAAAACUGUUCGCUGGAAAAACGUUCCUAACGAAAUGCACAUUCUGCUUUAAAAUUAUUAUUUAACAUGCAAAUAAAGGAAUCGCCAAUUUGCAACAUCACCAACACAGCGUGAUAGCGAAGAUUCUCCAGAUAUGCGAAUUGAUAAGUCGCUGGAGGCACUGGCCAGAACUUUGAAAGACUUACGUGACAACCAAAACAUUUUUGGUGGAGCUAUAAUUCUGUCAUCAUGUGAUUUUCGCAAUCGAUCAAAUGUUCCUCACGAACUAAACGCAUGCCUGAAAUUAUCGGUAUGUAAAGAAACUUCAAUUAACGACUAUGAUGCGAGUGUUUUUGUAUCAAGACCAAACUGCGAUUGUGUUUUCGAAGCAGUUGCUGGAUAUUGGAAGUGACUCGAAAGUGGAGCUUAUUCAGCGUGCUUCUGAGACGAUUAAAUUCCUUCCAGGAUAGUUGUUAACUUACAAAUUUGUUGACAUUGCUACAAACCUACCCUCCUGCUACAAAACUAAAUGUGUAUUAGCUAAUGAAUAACGUCAUCGAAGCCAAGAUCAUCAAGGAAAAAUGCAACGGAGAGGAUGUCUUGAUCGCGCGUAUAACGAUGAUGCCAACGGAUUUGCCACAAAAAAAAAGAAAAAGAAUAUACAAUAUGUAGUUAACAAGAAAGCUUAAAAUUAAUUAACCGUACGAGAUACUAUGUACAGCAGUGGACGUUGUUUGGCCACUUUUAUGAUGAUAACUCUCUGUUUAAUGAUUCCGCAAAAAUUAGUCGCUGUUUACAAUAUACUUGUAGGGCUGGGAGCAUUUACGAGGACGGUCCAAUAAGUAGUUAUCCUAUAGUAAGGCAAAAUAAAAGUUGUAAAAUUAAUUUCUCUA